CAGGCGAACACCGAAAAGCCUAAAACAGAGUAGGUG
rfam:Microscilla marina ATCC 23134 1099589004142, whole genome shotgun sequence.